GAUGAACGCUGGCGGCGUGCCUAAUACAUGCAAGUCGAGCGAACGGACGAGAAGCUUGCUUCUCUGAUGUUAGCGGCGGACGGGUGAGUAACACGUGGAUAACCUACCUAUAAGACUGGGAUAACUUCGGGAAACCGGAGCUAAUACCGGAUGAUAUUUUGAACCGCAUGGUUCAAAAGUGAAAGACGGUCUUGCUGUCACUUAUAGAUGGAUCCGCGCUGCAUUAGCUAGUUGGUAAGGUAACGGCUUACCAAGGCAACGAUGCAUACCCGACCUGAGAGGGUGAUCGGCCACACUGGAACUGAGACACGGUCCAGACUCCUACGGGAGGCAGCAGUAGGGAUUCUUCCGCAAUGGGCGAAAGCCUGACGGAGCAACGCCGCGUGAGUGAUGAAGGUCUUCGGAUCGUAAAACUCUGUUAUUAGGGAAGAACAUAUGUGUAAGUAACUGUGCACAUCUUGACGGUACCUAAUCAGAAAGCCACGGCUAACUACGUG
rnacentral:rRNA from 1 species